GUGAAUCAUCAAAUUUUUGAACGCAAAUUGCACUCUCUGCGAAGAGUAUGCCUGUUUGAGUGUCAGCCUAAAAAAAAUCGACAUAGUUUCUGUUACGCGGUGACAUUCGUCUUAAAUUGUGUCAUCUUAAACCUUUUGGUGUAAGCGGCUUAAAGUUUUCUUUACGAUUCGAGGAACGUUUUUAAGGUUUUAUUUUCUUAUACGGUGAAGUUAUCGAUCUUUAUUAGUCGUUUCCGUUGCAUCGGCUCUC
rnacentral:misc_RNA from 1 species